AAGCCAUUCUUCCCGCUGCCAUGAGAGAGCUCGCCUCGACCCUACCCUAUUCCUAGGGUGGGGCGGAAGAUUGUUCAUGAACAGAAUCUUCGUGCGAGUCUAUCCUUCUCCUUUUUCUCCUUCUCGAUCUCUGCCUCUCUUUAUGCCUAUUAAUAUUUCCGGAUUCAAAUCGGAAAUCUUUGCUCUUAGCUCUCUGGGCUAUGGAUCCUCUACUGUUUCCGUAAUCACUGGUUUCAACAUCAUCUACCAGGGAGAAGAUAAGGGUGAAUUAGGAGUGGGUUCUAAGCGUCGGAGUGCCAGGACGGUCGAAUGGGGGUUUUGAGCAUCAAUGUUGGAAUCGAGCUGGAUAUGCACUGGACGAAAUACUUUUUCGGAUUUGAUAUUUGCUUGAGAAAAUAUUAUCUGAUUUUAUUUAAUUUUGGGAGUUACUAAAGCUAUAAAUAUGAACUUGGCUAGGGCAUGCAUAUGCGAAAUGCGACGUAUCUUCAAACCCUCCAUUUGCAAGAGCUUAAUGUGCUUGGCUUGGCUGGUUAAAAAAGCUACAAAUGACAAUGAUAAUACUGAAGCUUCUUUGGAUUAUAAAAGUUCCAUAAAUUCCGGCGAGAUGCUACCCAGUGUUACUAGUAGGUUAACUUGGUGAGCUAGAAUCUGUGAACAAAAAUGCAGAGUGCAGAGAGAGAGAGAGUAGAGAGAGCACAGAAGAAGAUUAGGGAUAUCAGAAAGGUAGAAUAUUCAUUAUCAGUGUGCCAGGGAGGAGCCUAUCAACUUAUCAACCUGCACGAUCAAAGGCCCAUUGCGUCGAUUAACGAUCAAUACCUGAAGACAUACCGUACAUAAGGAUGAUUAUGUAUUUAAAGCAUCAUGUACUUUUUAUGUAUUCACUGACAUAUGUACCUUUUAUAUUUUAAAAUUUUUCUUGUGUUGCAAGAAUGCAUUUUAAG